UGAACCGCUCUGGUGGCCUAGUGGUUAGAGCGUCCGCCUCGGAUGCGGGAGGUUGUGGGUUCGAACCCCUACCGAUUCAU